GCUGGAUGUGGUGCUAUAUGUCUAUAACCCAUGCUAUUAGGGAAAGUUGGGGUUGGUGAUCUCUUGAGUUCAGGAGUUCUGAGUAGAGCUAAAGCUGAUCAUGUGUCUGCAUUUAGACCAGCACCAAUAUGGUGGCCCUCCACCUAUGUCUCUACCCACGCUGCAUGGGGGUGCCAGGCUACCUAAGGAGGGGCAAACCAGCCGUGGUCAGAAAUGAAGCAGGUUAAAGCUUCCAUGCUGAUCAGUACUGUAAGUGGUCCCAUGAGUGGCCACUGUAUUCCAGUCUGGGCAAGAUAGGGAGACUCAGUGUCU
rnacentral:SRP_RNA from 1 species